UCUUUGUUCCUUUGAAAAGGACAACUCGGAACUAAGUCUGUAAGUCUGAUAUUUCUUACGAGCACGUCUAGGUGAUCAGCCUAUAGUACUCUAUGUUAUACAACACUACUCCAUUAAACGUGGUUACGUUAAAGUUUUGGCAAACUCACGUGCCAGUCGAUUUAUGACUUAAAAUCUUUGUUUAUUCAUACUUAGGCUUACCUUUGAAUCUGUACCAAAGAAAUUGGUAUAGGAUAGCAACAUCAAUGAUACUUUGA
rnacentral:lncRNA from 1 species